GACGAACGCUGGCGGCGUGCUUAACACAUGCAAGUCGAACGAGGGGCGGACGGGUGAGUAAGAUAUGGGAACGUGCCCAGUAGCGGGGGAUAACUACGCGAAAGAGUGGCUAAUACCGCAUAAUAGUGGAGCGGCAGAUAUCGGAGUAGCUAGUGGGGGGGGUAAAGGUUCACCAAGGCAACGAGCCGUAGCUGGUUUGAGAGGAAGACCGGCCACACUGGGACGUAGACACGGCCCAGACUCCUACGGUAGUCAUCAGUGGGGAAUUUUGGACAAUGGGGGAAACCCUGAUCCAGCCAUCCCGAGUGUCUGAGAAGGCCUUCGGGUUGGAAAGUACUUUUGGCAGAGAAGCGGUAUCUGCAGAAUAAGCACCGGCUAACUACGUGCCAGCAGCCGCGGUAAUAC
rnacentral:rRNA from 1 species